UGGCUGCAGUGAGGAAUAUUGGGCAAUGCCCGCAAGGGUGACCCAGCAACGCCGCGUGGAGGAUGAAAGUCGUAAGAUUGUAAACUCCUUUUUACGGGGACGAAAAAUUUGAUUUCGCAAGGGAUCAGAUCUGACGGUACCUGUAGAAUAAGCCCCGGCUAACUACGUGCCAGCAGCCGCGGUAAUACGUAGGGGGCAAGCGUUGUCCGGAUUUACUGGGUGUAAAGGGCGCGUAGGCGGGUUUGUAAGUCAGGGGUGAAAUCCUACAGCUUAACUGUAGAACUGCCUUUGAUACUGCAGAUCUUGAGUUUGGAAGAGAGAGACGGAAUUCCAGGUGUAGUGGUGAAAUACGUAGAUAUCUGGAAGAACACCAGUGGCGAAGGCGGUCUCUUGGUCCAUAACUGACGCUGAGGCGCGAAAGCGUGGGGAGCAAACAGGAUUAGAUACCCCUGUAGUC
rnacentral:rRNA from 1 species